rnacentral:lncRNA from 10 species
GUCUUUGCCUGCUGCCAUCCACGUGAUAUGUGACUUGCUGCUCCUUGCCUUCUGCCAUAAUUGUGAGGCCUCCUCAGCCACACGGAAAUGCUUAUAGGCAUAAGAGACUUGCCUUGUCUCAGAUGAAACUUUGGACUGUGGACUUUUGAGUUAAUGCUGAUAUUAGGUGAUGCUGAUGCUGUUGGCUCCCAGACACCACUUUGGGUAACAAGCUCCUACAUCAGAGGUCAACGAACUACGGACUCUGCUUACCCUUUGUGAAUAAGCCCAGUGAAUCUGCUGAGUGAUGAGAGAGAGAGUGGGCCAGUCACUUCAUUGCUCCAGGAUUUUCUGUUGAAUGACACUUCAUAAAAAAGACUUUGAUUGCUGAGUUACAAAGACAAUUGUAUCUUCUUGUAAAGCAUACAGUCUUGGUGGUCCUACCCCAUGAACUGGCUGUCCCAGGACGGUUUUACGAAAAUCAUUCAGACUGCAGCUUCCUGGUUUUAGACAUCCCCACUGGCAAUUGGGACAUCUAUUUUGGAGAUGUAAUUGAAAAGACUGAAGAAUGUACUGAGGACCUUCUGGCUGAUAGAAGCUGACAAAGAAGCC